rnacentral:rRNA from 1 species
UACAGAGGGGGCAAGCGUUAUUCGGAAUUAUUGGGCGUAAAGGGCGCGUAGGCGGCUUGGCAAGUGGAUGGUGAAAUCCCUCGGCUUAACCGAGGAACUGCCGUCCAAACUGCUUCGCUUGAGACCGGGAGAGGUGAGUGGAAUUCCCAGUGUAGCGGUGAAAUGCGUAGAUAUUGGGAGGAACACCAGUGGCGAAGGCGGCUCACUGGACCGGUACUGACGCUGAGGAGCGAAAGCGUGGGGAGCAAACAGG